UUAAAACUCAAAUGAAUUGACGGGGGCCCGCACAAGCGGUGGAGCAUGUGGUUUAAUUCGAUGCAACGCGAAGAACCUUACCUGGUCUUGACAUCCACAGAAGAAUCCAGAGAUGGAUUUGUGCCUUCGGGAACUGUGAGACAGGUGCUGCAUGGCUGUCGUCAGCUCGUGUUGUGAAAUGUUGGGUUAAGUCCCGCAACGAGCGCAACCCUUAUCCUUUGUUGCCAGCGGUUAGGCCGGGAACUCAAAGGAGACUGCCAGUGAUAAACUGGAGGAAGGUGGGGAUGACGUCAAGUCAUCAUGGCCCUUACGACCAGGGCUACACACGUGCUACAAUGGCGCAUACAAAGAGAAGCGACCUCGCGAGAGCAAGCGGACCUCAUAAAGUGCGUCGUAGUCCGGAUUGGAGUCUGCAACUCGACUCCAUGAAGUCGGAAUCGCUAGUAAUCGUGGAUCAGAAUGCCACGGUGAAUACGUUCCCGGGCCUUGUACACACCGCCCGUCACACCAUGGGAGUGGGUUGCAAAAGAAGUAGGUAGCUUAACCUUCGGGAGGGCGCUUACCACUUUGUGAUUCAUGACUGGGGUGAAGUCGUAACAAGGUAACCGUAGGGGAACCUGCGGUUGGA
rnacentral:rRNA from 1 species